GCCUUCGUGGGGAAAUGGUAACCCAUCAGACUCCUAAUCUGAGGAUUGCGGUAGGUUUGGCGUCCUUAACACUAACAACUUCCCAUGGCUUCCUCCGCUUUGAUCUAAUGCUGACGAAGACGUUCAGGGUUCGAGUCCCGCCGGAGGUG